AUUGAACGCUGGCGGCAGGCCUAACACAUGCAAGUCGAGCGGGCGGCGGACGGGUAAUGAAUGGAUGGGUGCUGCCCGAUUGGGGGGGCUAACUGCAGGAAACGGUAGCUAAUACCGCAUACUAUCGGAUAACCCAUAUGGGAUUAGCUAGUAGGUGAGGUACUGGCUCACCUAGGCGACGAUCCCUAGCUGGUCUGAGAGGAUGAUCAGCCACACUGGGACUGAGACACGGCCCAGACUCCUACGGAGGCAGCAGUGGGGAAUAUUGCACAAUGGGCGCAAGCCUGAUACAGCCAUGCCGCGUGUAUGAAGAAGGCCCUAGGGUUGUAAAGUACUUUCAGUCGGGAGGCGUUACCGACAGAAGAAGCACCGGCUAACUCCGUGCCAGCAGCCGCGGUAAUAC
rnacentral:rRNA from 1 species